CGGAUUGGAGUCUGCAACUCGACUCCAUGAAGCUGGAUUCGCUAGUAAUCGCGCAUCAGCCACGGCGCGGUGAAUACGUUCCCGGGCCUUGUACACACCGCCCGUCAAGCCAUGGAAGCCGGGGGUGCCUGAAGUGCGUGAGCGCAAGCAGCGCCCUAAGGUAAAACCGGUGACUGGGGCUAAGUCGUAACAAGGUAUC
rnacentral:rRNA from 1 species